AACGAACGCUGGCGGCGCGCCUAAUACAUGCAAGUCGAGCGAGAAGACGUAGCAAUACGUUUGUAAAGCGGCGAACGGGUGAGGAAUACAUGGGUAACCUACCCUCGAGUGGGGAAUAACUAGCCGAAAGGUUAGCUAAUACCGCGUACGCUUCUUGGACUUCGGUUCAGGGAGGAAAGCGAUACCGUGGGUAUCGCGCUCUUGGAUGGGCUCAUGUCCUAUCAGCUUGUUGGUGAGGUAACGGCUCACCAAGGCUACGACGGGUAGCUGGUCUGAGAGGACGAUCAGCCACACUGGCACUGCGACACGGGCCAGACUCCUACGGGAGGCAGCAGUAAGGAAUAUUGCGCAAUGGGCGAAAGCCUGACGCAGCGACGCCGCGUGGGGGAUGAAGGUCUUCGGAUUGUAAACCCCUUUCGGGAGGGAAGAUGGAAUGGGGUAACCCAUUCGGACGGUACCUCCAGAAGCAGCCACGGCUAACUUCGUGC
rnacentral:rRNA from 1 species